rnacentral:rRNA from 1 species
UACAGAGGUCUCAAGCGUUGUUCGGAUUCAUUGGGCGUAAAGGGUGGCGUAAGGUGGCGCCGUAAGUCGGGUGUGAAAUUUCGAGGCUUAAACCUCGAAACUGGCAUUCGAUACUGCGGUGCUUGAGGAACUGGAGAGGAGACUGGAAUUCAUGGUGGUAGCAGUGAAAUGCGUAGAGAUCAUGAGGAAGACCAGUGGACGAAGGCGGGUCUCUGGACCGAUACUGACGCUGAGGAGCGAAAGCGUGGGGAGCAAACAGG